rnacentral:lncRNA from 1 species
CGCGGGGAGGAGGGCGGUGUGCUGGGUGUGGUCUGCGCGUGCGCAGCGCUGAGGCGCGGGCUCUGCCUGAGAGGCGCUCGCGCUCCUCCUGAGGCGACGCCGUCGCCUCACGGCCCUCGGGCCGGUUGUGGAGCCGGGCGCGGAGCCGUCGCCGCCUGCGGGCCUGGCACCAGUUGUCCGGGUUUGUCUGGGACCUGAGGCAGCUCUGACGGGGCGGAGGGCGAUGGGCAGCGGUUCCCCGCCGCCGCUUCCCCAGGAUAACUCAACUCAGCUGCCGUUCCAGCCUUCAGCUCUUACAAAGAACAGACUCAAAUGAAUUUCCACUUCACUGUCAACUUUGCCUGUGUCUAGAGAAAAACUUUCAGUCUCUGGUCCUGGAUGCAGGGACCUGCAAAGACAGAUGAGCAAAUUCAUUUUAAGGAGGUGUAAAUGCCCAAGAAGACAGGUUGGCACUUCAAUAGAAAAAUUUUGAAAGUGAAGAAGAAUUUGAAACCCCCUGAUUGAGAAGAUACACUCUGAUAUGCUGUGCUAAAAAUUUUCUGUCAAGCUGCCUCAACCUAGGAAUAGGACCAACUGGGUUGCAAUUGGCAUCACUUCAGACAAAUACGUCAUCAGUAAUGGCUUUUGAAGCUUCUGCCUCUCUUGGAAGGAAAACUCUAUCGUGUGUAGACUUGAAAGCAUGGAUUUUCACGAGCUGUGCCAAGUUCCUGCAGGAGGUUUCCCAUCAGAGGGAACGUUGGGAGACUUGGCCAACAAAUCCCAUCUCCCAGCCCCGCUGCCGUGUCGGAUGGUACCUGUGUCGCUGCUGGAGCCUCCUCAGUCUGUGAGUACCAGCAGCACAACCUCAUCCAGGGUACUUCAGGUACCGCGACAGGACGUUGCUGAAACCCUUCACAGCUGUGGGUGCCCCAGCUCUUGCAUCCUGUGUUGCAGCAGAGCCUCUGUGCAGAUGGGACACCCAGAGAGCAUGUCCCCAGCGUCCUCCCGGGCUCUGGCUCCCACCUCGUGCUCUGUCUCCUGGUGAGAAGGUCACCAUCCUGUGCCCUCUGAAUACAGAUAGGAGCGAAUCAUGGAAACGUACUCAAUUUGUUGUAUUUCAUUAUUGUACACAGAUAUUUUUUUGCCUGAC